CAGGAAUUGAUUUCAAAAUACGAACAGUAGAGCUAGAUGGGAAGAAAAUCAAGUUACAGAUAUGAUGGCUUCGAUUUGAUUCCUUCAACCUUUUUUAACACCUGAAGAUGGAGUGAGACUCCGAAAGCUUGUUUUCUCAAAUAAACUGUUGAAUUAUAA